GACGUAGGGCGCGAGCGUUGUCCGGAUUUAUUGGGCGUAAAGAGCUCGUAGGCGGCUUGUCGCGUCGACUGUGAAAACCCGCAGCUCAACUGCGGGCCUGCAGCGGAUACGGGCAGGCUAGAGUUCGGUAGGGGAGACUGGAAUUCCUGGUGUAGCGGUGAAAUGCGCAGAUAUCAGGAAGAACACCGAUGGCGAAAGCAGCUCUCUGGGACGGUACUGACGCUGAGACGCGAAAGCGGGGGGAGCGAACAGG
rnacentral:rRNA from 1 species